GCUCUCUGUGCUCCUUAACCAUCACAAUCUCUCCUUCCUCUUCUACCUUCUGCAUGUUUUUUUCCACUUGAUUGAGGAUGCGGCAAUAAUCUUGCUGAGCUAUACAAACAAACUGGCAGUCAUCCACUUUGGUUCUCAUCACUCCCUUCAUAUAUUCCUUUUCCAUGGUAGGGGAAACUCCAAAACUGUUUCCCAUGCACAGUAUCUCUGUUCUUCCAUCAGGAUAUGUCACUUCCACAGAGCCAUUCAGAAUGACUGACCAGGAAUCCAGCUCUUCCCCAUCGUUCAGUACAAUAGUUCCUGCUCUCUCCACAACUGCAAACACCAUUACAGCACAAAGCUCUCUCCUCACUGACAUUGUCAUGUUGGCAAAAGCAGGCAACUGAUGCAUGAAUUCCAGUAGUUGUUCAAUGUCAUCAUCCGUCCUGUCUAUUGGAUCUUUCUCCAAGCAAUCUCUGACAAUAUCUCUACUCAUCAAAGGAUCUGAUGCCCUUUCAAUGUCUUCUUCAUCAUCAUCAUCCUCAGAAUCCACUGCUGUCUCU
rnacentral:lncRNA from 1 species